UACUCCCACUGUGCGCUCAUUUUGUCCUGCAUUGUGAGUUUGGGAAUGAGUGGCUGGAUCCUACUUAUAUUUGCAACCCCACUGUGGGGCAGUAUGCUUUGUACCUAAUAGAUGUCCAAUAAAUGUUUGCAUUUAUUGGGGGAUCUGGGUGCCACCCUCAUUUUUCAACCCUUUCCCAGCCCCCAAACCUUCCUUCAGUCCGCAGAGGAAUUCCUCCUCGCAGGUUCCCAACACACGUUUGUACUCUGAGAUAACCAAUGAGACCUAGUCCUGGAAAGCAGGGUUGCCCUAUUGUAGCAGUGUUACUACGCAUUUUUUAAAAAGUAAGGAAUGACGGUGUUAAGUUUGCAAAAGGGUUAUUUGUGGCCAGACCAAGCUACGGUUUGACAGCCAGAUUCAAAUGAGGCCAUUCAAAUUAGUUAAAUCAGACAACCCCAAUAGGAUGUGUAUGGCUGGGGCAGGGAUUUGGACAAGAGGAGAUCUCUGUUAGCAAACCAAAAAGUCAAAAGCUUUUCAAUAUACCCCAUUCUUCCCCUCACCCUCACUUCUCAAAAAUCCUUACCUCAGGAACAGGGGAAUUCUGAGCAGAGUCAUAGUUCUUAAAAUUUCACUGAAAAUUACUUCAGCAGCCAUCGCAGCUCCAGUGGUCUGGGAGAACUAACGUGAGCACCGAAGACAAACCCUAAAAGAUUGUGAAGUCGCUGGAAGAAAAAGCAUUUAUCACUUCAUAACAUGAAAUGUUAUGUUAAUGAAUAUCAGAAGUGAAGUGAGUACUGGGGAGAAAUCCUCAUUGUCAUUAGAGGCCGAACCACAAGUGAGGACUUGGUCACCAUCACACAAAGAUUUGGGGCACUGUGUAUUCUGUCCUCUGCUUUGGACCAUGAGCCCAUCCAGUGAUGACUGCAUGGCAGCCCUGGAGUGCGUGACACCCAUGGUGAGAGCAUCUGAUUCCACCUAAAUAGGGAGACUCAGACCCCAGCCUCCAGCCAGAACCCCUGUCUUCCCUCUGGAGACCAUCUUUGCAGAGGGGUGUGCAGAGCAGCAAUUGAGAAGCUUCUUACCC